CCUACGGGGGGCUGCAGUUGGGAAUCUUGCACAAUGGGGGAAACCCUGAUGCAGCGACGCCGCGUGGAGGACGAAGGGUCUAGGCUCGUAAACUCCUUUUUCAGGGAAAGACUUCGGACGGUACCCUGAGAAUAAGCUCCGGCUACCUACGUGCCAGCAGCCGCGGUACGACGUAGGGAGCGAGCGUUGUCCGGAUUUACUGGGCGUAAAGAGCACGUAGGCGGUCUGUUAAGUGCGAAGUGAAAUCUCCAGCGCUAAAGGCGGAAACGGCGUUUCAUACUGGCAGACUUGAGGGAUGCAGAGGCAAGUAGAAGUCCUGGUGUACCGGUGACAUGGGUUGAUAUCAGGAGGAAUACCAAUGGCGAAGGCAGCUUGCUGGGCAUCAGCUGACGCUGAGGUGCGAAAGCGUGGGUAGCAAACAGGAUUAGAUACCCCGGUAGUC
rnacentral:rRNA from 1 species